UACGGAGGGUGCGAGCGUUGUCCGGAAUCACUGGGCGUAAAGGGCGCGUAGGCGGCGCGGAUAGUCGGCGGUGAAAGCCCGGAGCUCAACUCCGGGUCGGCCGUCGAUACUUCCGGGCUUGAGCACUGUAGAGGCAGAUGGAAUUCCGGGUGUAGCGGUGGAAUGCGUAGAGAUCCGGAGGAACACCAGUGGCGAAGGCGGCUGCCUGGGCCUGGCCUGACGCUGAGGCGCGAAAGCGUGGGGAGCGAUCCGG
rnacentral:rRNA from 1 species